AGAAAGAUAGAAAUUGAACGGUCUAGUUUUCAUAAUUCCCCAAAAUCACCCGCCAGACAUGGCUGUUGUUCAAAUUUCCAGUUCUCUCUGCACUUCAAUUCGUGAUGUUGUUGUGUCAAACCCAGUAUCCAUUUCUUCUAUUAAGGGCUCUACUCGUACUCAAUUUGGGACUACUUUUGCAACUGGUUCUCCACUCUUGAUCAGGAACAGUUUCUCUCAGAUAAAAGCUACGCCAAGUAGGGCAGCAUCACUUUCUGUACGAUGUGAGCAGAGUACCAAGGACGGAAGUAAUUUGGAUGUAUGGCUUGGUCGAUCUGCCAUGGUUGGUUUUGCAGCUGCUAUUAGUGUAGAAAUAGCUACAGGCAAAGGACUUCUGGAGAAUUUCGGGGUCUCAGGGCCCAUACCUACAGUAGCAUUGGCAGUCACUGCAUUGGUGGGCGUUUUGACCGCUGUCUUCAUCUUCCAGUCUGCUUCAAAGAACUGAUUAUUUCCUUUUCUCUUCUUGUUUAUGUAUUGAAAGAGUGAUAUUGAUACAUCCUUAUUCAUCUAAACAAAUUCUGUCAAUUUGUCAAUAGAAACUUUAUUUACUGCUGAAUUUUCCCUUCCUUAAACCUUG
rnacentral:misc_RNA from 1 species